CAAUAAUCAAUUUUGCCAACCAUGUAAAAAAAAAAAAAAAAAAAACACAGAGAGAGCUGAAACUAUGACUGUUAAAGUAUGUUAUUGAUAAAUAACUACAUUACCUUUUUUCUUUUCGUAGCAUUAUUCUCAGUCAGAGACAACGCCCACACUAAGUAGAAAAAUGAUGGAUCAUUGUAAUGAAAUCCAAAUCAAUACUCCGAUAUUUUAUCACAGAAUGAAUAUUUUUGGACAGAACAAGUUCUUCCAAUUUUAAUGCUGUGUAUUUCAUGUAUAAACAUUAUAUUGUUUAUUAAUUAUGAAAGCCAGGGUCAGUGUUAACCCUAACCCUAACAUUAACCUUCAACAAUUUUGUCAAUAUUCAACUGUGAGACAUGCAAGGAAAUGCAAAAAUAUUCAAAAUUCGGAGUAACAUAAACAGAGGUUAACAUCAAUUAGCACACAAUGGAGUAAAAGUUACAAAGGUUAAACCCCUGAAGACGAAAAAUGCAGUUUGCAAGUGUUAGGGUUAGGAGUGGGAUUAGACUUUUACACAUAUAACAUCAAAUGAAAUCCAACCGCAUCACUCUCACUUGUUUGAAUUCCUACAAACCAUGUGAUCUAGCUGACUGAGUUUCUAUAAUAUUAACAGUAUUUUCAGAUCAGUUGCAGAGUCUGUGGUAUUCCCUCCCUCGCGUGUCUGUUGCACUGGCAGAAAGGCAGCAAGGAUUCCUCACACUGCCCUACAUUCAGCUGAGUGAUCCAACACACAUAGCCUUCUGUCACAAAUAAUCAUUAGAGCUCCAGCCCUCCUCCUCCACACACUCUCUCCCGCUGUAUUAAAUAUUAAAGAUUUCCAACUUUCAACUGGGUGAGUGUUAAAGCGACCUGCCAUCAAAACGCAGACAUACAGUAACAUGCAUAUGUGCUUCCUCUUCUACAAUGUACAAGCUGGGCUCAAAACCGUCUCUAUUAGAGUGCCAAUUUAGCCUUUCAGCACCUUCUGCAUCAUACGAUGGCUGGGAUCACAUCAGAAGCUAUUUCUCCUCAUUCUUCCCCCAUGCCUAUACCUGCAUCAUCUUACAUUCUCAUUUCCUCUCUUUCCCUCUUUGUCCAUCCCUUUGUUCUGAUUCACACAGAGCGCAUUCAAAGGCGCACGCAUUUUCUUGCAUGUCAGCCAGCUAAUGCUUUCUCAGGAGAGUGGAGUGACACUCGUUCUGCCAGCCACCAAUGCAAGUGUCAUGAGGUCGACAUUAAUUACUUGCUUGUGCAUAACGUUUCGUCACCACAGUGAUAUGCCAUUAACGGAAGAGGCCAGACGAAUGAACGGACGCUUACUCUGCGUGCAAAUGAGGCACCCGUCCAACCCUUGGCACAGAUUUGGAAAUUGGCUGAGUGCCGUGGCAUACACGUCCCUUAUUAGAAUUUAAUAAGGGAAGCGAUAAUGUACCUCUGCAUCUCUUUUAAACGCAACAAUGGAUUGGAAUAUGCGCAGAGGUGAACGGGGAGGGGCGUCGGUGUACGGGCGAAUCCCACGGCUCGACACAAAACAUAAAGCCUCAAGAGAUUUGCCUGAUAUAUGACAAUGAGGCUGGCAUGAAGGAUGCAGUAGAGUUCGUCUAUGGUAAUGGGAUCAUGGGAGAGUGGCCUGCCUCUGCGUCUCUGUCUUUCCCUCUCUCACACACACACUCCCACACAUAAAUACACCCAAACAGGGUCCACGCCAUACCCCCCCUCCACCCCACCCCGCAAAAGAGUGGUCGCAGGACAAUGGCACUAUUGUUGCCCCCUUGUUUUGAAACCCCAGGCAGAGAACAGUUGCUGUUUACCCAAGCCAUGGCGUCCCUCCGAUCCGGAUGUUAAUUAAUUGGAGGGCUCCUGAUUGAGCUUGCUCUGUGCACACAGCACAAAAACAGGCAUUCAGGGCCACGAGGGGAAGGAGCGCUCUCAUGGCAAAAUGCCGACUUCUCUUUCUGUCCCUUCCUCCCCUUUUACAUGCCAAACUACUCUCCUCUGUCUUCUUGCUCUCACUAUCUCUCGUCUUCUGACCCCUUUUAGUCUGCAUCCUCAUUGAGUAUGCAAGACUCGCCUACUCUGAUUUGCACACCUGCCAUUUUCCACACACACACACACACACACACACACACACACACACACACACACUGAAUUAUAAACCAAACCGAAAAAAAAAUGCUUAUAGUGUCCAUUAAUUUUUUCCAAUAAUAAUAAUAAUAAAAUAAGAAUAAUAAUAAUGAUGAUGAUAACAAUAAUAAUAAAAACAAUAAACAAUAUAUA
ensembl:lncRNA